UGCAUGCCUCACUAAUUAGAUGAGUUGGUUAGAGGAUGGUGCUAAUAACACCAAGGUUGCAGGUUUGAUCCCCGUACAGGACAG